UUCCAUAUGGUCCAGUGAUUAGUAUUCCUGGUUUUCACCCAAGCUGCCCAGGGUUCGACUACCAGUAUGGGAA
rnacentral:tRNA from 1 species